GCCAGGUAGUCUAGUGGUUAGAAUUCUCUUUUUUCAAGGAGAAUAAGUGGGGGUGUCCGGGGUUCGAACCCCGGCCCCUGCA
rnacentral:tRNA from 1 species